rnacentral:lncRNA from 1 species
GAGUUGAACCUAUGGCUUGGGUCCAUCCGUGCAAGUAGUUGAUAUCCUUCAUGAGAUCUUUUCAAAAAAAAUUAUAUUCACAAAGUGCUUUUCGUUUCUUAUAUAUGUGAGCUAUUUGAUUGCCUCAAAAUAUUUUCUCUCACAUAUAAUUGAGUGAUUAUAAGCUUUUAAGCAUUGUCUUGAAUUCUGAGAGAAGAAAGAGUGGAUAUACCUUGUGAGGAUAUGAAUCAUACUUGUUCGAAGCAUGCUUAACAGAAACCAUCACCAUUGUCACAACCAAGUCCUACUUGUGUAUGUGUGGAUUAUAUGUUUUAAUUAACUCUUGAAUAUCUACAUAUUGAUUCUUGGUUGAGUGCUAAUCUUGAUGUUGUGAAAGUAGGAGAUUUCUGAGACAAAAAGUUGAAGGGCAAUAGAGUCAUUGUUUUUGUAGAGUCUUUAAUUUUCGUUGAGUCUUAGUGUGUGUCUUAGUGUGAUUUUGCUAAGGGACUAGCAAAAGCUAAGUGUGGGGGAAUUUGAUAGGAGCAUUUUAAUGCGACGUUUUACUUGCUUUUCCCUACAUUUCUUGCGACCUCCGAGCUAA